rnacentral:rRNA from 1 species
GACGAACCGUCCAACCGUUAUUCGGAAUUAUUGGGCUUAAAGGGUGCGUAGGCUGUGCAGUAAGUUGGGCGUGAAAUCCCUCGGCUCAACCGAGGAACUGCGCCGAAUACUGCUGUGCUAGAGGAAGAUAGGGGUAAGCGGAACUGAUGGUGGAGCGGUGAAAUGCGUUGAUAUCAUCAGGAACACCGGUGGCGAAGGCCGCUUACUGUAUCUUGUCUGACGCUGAUGCACGAAAGCUAGGGGAGCGAACGGG